GACGUAGGGUGCGAGCGUUGUCCGGAUUUAUUGGGCGUAAAGAGCUCGUAGGCGGCUCGUCGCGUCGACCGUGAAAACCCGCGGCUUAACUGCGGGCUUGCGGUUGAUACGGGCGGGCUAGAGUUCGGUAGGGGAGACUGGAAUUCUCGGUGUAGCGGUGAAAUGCGCAGAUAUCAGGAGGAACACCGAUGGCGAAGGCAGGUCUCUGGGCCAUAACUGACGCUGAGAAGCGAAAGCAUGGGGAGCGAACAGG
rnacentral:rRNA from 1 species